AUGACGCCUUUCUGUGCGCUCCCUCUCCUCUCAGCGCUCGAUCCCGGCGAGUGCGGGCAUCACUGAAGACCUGACGCCGGCGGAAUCGGACGCGCGGCUCUCUCCGGCGCAAUUGAGCGGGUGUUAUCCGACGCAGAACUUCGUCGCCGCCACGCGAAGCUUUCCGAGCGGUCGCCGCGCGGGCCGCCGCGCCGCUCCGCCGGAGGAACAGACUUUUUCCGCGUCCGUGCGACCGCAGCGGCGCAGCGGCCAGACAAUAACGCCUAGAAGUUAUUGAAAUGAACCGUCAUGAAAAGAGCUGGCACGAGAAGAAGAAACGGAACGAACGGCAGCGGCGCUAGUGUUUAUUGCCGAGAGAAAGACACGAGGAAGAGACGAGCGGUGAGGGAACGGUCCAGACAUGAAGGAGGCAUGCAGACGCACACAAACGGCACCUCCAGUCUGUCUGCGGUCUGCCAUCAGCCUGCCACAAACACACACACGCCAGUUACGUGGGUGUCUGUAAUUGCAGGGCAGCAGGCAGAGGUGGGGGCGACGCCAUUCCCACCGCGAGGAGACGGAAGGGGCCGACGCUCGCUCGCACACAGAGCCGGAGGCGCGUCAGCAGGUGAGUAUUAAGCCAGGCAUCUAAACAGGUCAUGUCGCUGUAUGAUGUCUGC